rnacentral:rRNA from 1 species
GAUGAACGCUGGCGGCGUGCUUAACACAUGCAAGUCGAACGAAGCACUUUAUUUGAUUUCCUUCGGGCCUGAUUAUUUUGUGACUGAGUGGCGGACGGGUGAGUAACUCGUGGGUAACCUGCCUUGUACAGGGGGAGAACAGUUGGAAACGGCUGCUAAUACCGCAUAAGCGCGCAGCAUCGCAUGAUGCGGUGGGAAAAACUCGGGGGGUAUAAGAUGGACCCGCGUUGGUUUUGCUAGUUGGUGAGGUAACGGCACACCAAGGCCACGAUCCAUAGCCGAGCGGGGAGGGUGACAGACCACAAUGGAACUGCGGCACGGACUCAACCGCGAGGGGAGGCAGCAGUAGAGUAUAUUACACACGGGGCGAAAGCGCGACGAAGCGACGCGGCGGGAGAGAAGCAUUAGUUUGGUAUGUAAAGCUGUAUGAGAAGGGAAGAGAAUGACGGUACCGGACAAAGAAGCACCGGCUAAAUACGUG